UACGAAGGGGCUAGCGUUGUUCGGAAUACUGGGCGUAAAGCGCACGUAGGCGGAUACUUAAGUCAGGGGUGAAAUCCCGGGGCCUCAACCCCGGAACUGCCUUUGAUACUGGGUAUCUCGAGUCCGGAAGAGGUGAGUGGAAUUCCGAGUGUAGAGGUGAAAUUCGUAGAUAUUCGGAAGAACACCAGUGGCGAAGGCGGCUCACUGGCCCGGUACUGACGCUGAGGUGCGAAAGCGUGGGGAGCAAACAGGG
rnacentral:rRNA from 1 species